CCAACGGGUGGCAGCAGUAGGGAAUAUUGGACAAUGGGCGAAAGCCUGAUCCAUCAACGCCGCGUGCGCGAUGACGGCCUUCGGGUUGUAAAGCGCUUUUAGAGGAGAUGAGAAAGGACAGUAUCCUCUGAAUAAGCCUCGGCGAACUACGUGCCAGCAGCCGCGGUAAAACGUAGGAGGCUAGCGUUAUCAGGAUUUAUUGGGCGUAAAGCGCGUGCAGGCGGUCUGGUAAGUUGGAUGUGAAAGCUCCUGGCUUAACUUGGGGGGGUCGUUCAAUACUGUCAGACUAGAGAAUGGGAGAGGGAGGUGGAAUUCCGGGUGUAGUGGUGAAAUGCGUAGAUAUCCGGAGGAACACCAGUGGCGAAAGCGGCCUCCUGGACCACUUCUGACGCUAAGACGCGAAAGCUAGGGUAGCAAACG
rnacentral:rRNA from 1 species